rnacentral:lncRNA from 1 species
AGUUCAAAUUGCAAUUCAAAUCGAUCAAACCAAACACUCAAUUUGGAUUUGUAUAUAAUUAUAACUACGGUGCAAUUACAAUUACAUACAAUUAUUUAGUUACUCAGUUCAUUUCUUAAAAAAUGAACAAAAGAAGUAGCAUACUAUUAUUCUCUCAAAUAUACACAUACACAAUGGUGGCUCAUGAUGGGUCCCCUAUUGUUGCAUGAUUUAAGAGCGAAAAAUAUACGUAGUAGUAUCAAACGAUUUGUGUUAUUGAUA